rnacentral:lncRNA from 12 species
AUGGAGGCGAAAAUGCAAAAUGGCUCAUCGAAAACAGGACGAGGGGUUACAGUCAAUGGGACUGUGUCCACCCUGAAGAGGCAGCCGAGGCCCAAGACAGCGUCAGGCAGGCAGGAACGUGGCUCCUGUUCUUCAACAGCCUCUUGUCCAGUGUUCUCUGGAUGCCAGAGCGACCUGGACGAAGAGCUGCAGCCACGCUGUCCAUCCAGCCUUUCCUCACCCUCCCUGCACAGGCCUGGUUCCACCUCCAAUCUGAAGGGCUCCGUCUCCAGCCUGCAAGGUUCCUUGUCAAGCCUAAAGGGUUCGGUGGUAAGCCUCAAGAGCUUUCCUACCUCCUCGACACUGCAGAGCUCCAGUCUCAGCCUGCGGAGUUCCAGCCCGAGCCUCCGGAGCUCCAGCUCCAGCCAGCGCAGCUCCAGUGAGGACGACAGCUGGGACACCAACAGCUGGAGCUCCGGAGCCACAUGUCUGCUGCGCAGCUCUAUUAAGCAGCACAGUGAGGAGGUUUUCCGGGUACGUGCUGUCUCUGUGAGUCGACCUGAGGGCACGAGUGAUUCCGAGACAGGCUACCAGAACUCCGACAGCUGCCAGGGCAGUGUGGUGGGAUCGGAGAGCCAGGACGGAGCGGAGCAGGUCGAUGUGGGGCGGAGAGAUUCGUCAUCAAGUCAGGGCACCUCUGUUGCUUCAACCGCAUCAUCCAACUUAGAGCAGAAGAUUGAAGAGAAGCUCAAGUUUUCUCAGUUUCUUGAUGAGGUUACAUGUAGGGUCCUGGAACCCGAGUGUCUACAAGCUUUCGGUGUGCCCAUUCGUCAGAAGGAGUCGCCUUGUCCACAAACAUCAUCUCCCCAAUGCCUAAACUUGACCCCAGUUUCCAGUCCUUGGUUUGGUUCCAGUAGGGAUUCUACCUGUAAUUCCAGGGACAGUAAUGUGUACAAGUGGGCCAAGUGCAUGCCAAGCUGCAAGAUUCUGGAUGCCAGCGAAACCCUGAGAAGAACUCAAGAGGAAAUGGAAAUGUUAGGAAGGACCUACCUAGAGACUGACAUAGACAGAGUAAGGAGGGAAGAUGAAGUGAGUUCCACACAUCUACGAGACGUGGAGAAGAGAACUUUACAGACGAGUGGAAAAUCUUCUUGCGGAUGCCCGAGUCCUGUUUUAAAGCGCUCAGACGGGGCACCGCAGCCACCGCACCGCACCACCUCGCUCCCGAGACCUGCUGUGAGUGGCAUCAUGGUGAGCCUCUGA